ACGGGUGAGUAACACGUAUCCAACCUGCCGAUGACUCGGGGAUAGCCUUUCGAAAGAAAGAUUAAUACCCGAUGGCAUAGUUCUUCCGCAUGGUAGAACUAUUAAAGGAUUUCGGUCAUCGAUGGGGAUGCGUUCCAUUAGGUUGUUGGCGGGGUAACGGCCCACCAAGCCUUCGAUGGAUAGGGGUUCUGAGAGGAAGGUCCCCCACAUUGGAACUGAGACACGGUCCAAACUCCUACGGGAGGCAGCAGUGAGGAAUAUUGGUCAAUGGACGAGAGUCUGAACCAGCCAAGUAGCGUGAAGGAUGACUGCCCUAUGGGUUGUAAACUUCUUUUAUA
rnacentral:rRNA from 1 species